rnacentral:misc_RNA from 1 species
UUCGUUAUGCAUCGGAUGUAAAUGUGGAAAGAGCAGAAGAUGUGCUCAUGCACAAGAGGUUGCUGGACAUAGCGGAGGAUCCUGAGAAUAGACCUGCCUUUGAUGUCCGCCUUGUGCAGGUUCAGCCUAUGUACACUGGAACGUCAACCAAUACUGUUGAUGUAGAUCCUUCAGUUAAUGAAGAAAUCCCAAGCAUUCAUCCUCCUCCAACUUUUGGUUCAUCACCAAAUCUUCAAGG